CACCUUGCUAAGUUGCUGAGGGUGACUUUGAACUCCUGAUAGUCUUGCCUCAACUUCCCCAGCUGCUGUGAUUACAGUCGUGUACCACCGUGCCCGGCCUGCUUGAUACUUUUAUUUCGUUCCUUUCAUGUUCCUAUGAUGUGUCAUCUAAGAAACUUGGAAAUCUUCUGAAGCUGGUUAUGUUUAUUUUUACAUUACUAUAUCAUAACAUGGGUCCUUUACUUUUCUUUCUUGUCAUUGCUAAAUUGACUAAUUUUCCUUUCCCGAAUAUUUUCCAGCUUCAAAACAAGUUUAGAAUGUCUCAAGGUAAAUGUUUUUCGAGUAAAAAUUUUUAUGACUUCCUUUACAUAUGAGGCCUUUAUUACCCAGAAAUAUAUUUGAACUAUUACUUAAACUGCGCUAGAAAUGUUAACAUGAGGCUGGGUAUGGUAGCACAUACCUAUAAUCUUCGCUACUAGAGAAGCUAAGGCAAGUUCCAAGAUCUGUCUAUGCAAGUUACCAAUACUCUGUCUCAAAAUAAAAAAUGAGGUGUAGGAAAGUCCACUGACAACUAAAAAUAUAUUUUAAAAAAUAAAUUUAAAAAAUUUUUUAAAAAUUGAAAAGUCAUAUAGAUAUUUGGUAGUUAAAUAUUUUUCCAUGUCAUUGUGUUAUCACUUGCAGGGCAUACCAAUGUUUAGUUGAGCUUUUUGUGCAUAGCCUAUUAGGUCAUUUUUUAAUUUACCAUUUUCAAUGAUGAAUAUCCAUGCUUAUGGAUAACUCUUUGCACUUAUUUCUAAUUUCUAAUUGCUUCCAAAAAGAAAUGCGUUAUGGAAAAUUAUGAAUUAAAAACUAAUACUGGGGCCAGGCAUGGUGUCCCAUACUGGAAAGAGCAAGGACAGAGGAUUGCAAGUUCAAGGCUAGCCUCAGCUACUAAGCAAGACUAUGUCACACAAUGAAAAAUAAAAAUAAGGCCUGGCACAGUGGCAUACGGGCUAAUAAGGAGGCUGAGGCAGGAGGAUGGUGAGGUCAAAGCCAGCCUCAGAGGCAACCUUAGUGAUUCCCUAAGCAACUCAGCAAGACCCUGUCUCUAAAUAAAGUACAAAAAAGGCCUUCGGAUGUGGUUCAGUGGUUAAGUGCCCCUAGAGUCAAUCCCCAGUACCAAAAAGAAAGCAUGAUUAUGUAGCUCAGUGGUAGAGCACCUCUGGGUUCAACGCCCAGUACCACCAUGAUGCCAAAAAUAUAAAUAAAAAUUUAAAAAAUGUCUAACAAGCUAGGAUGUAGCUCACUGGUAGAGUACAUGUCUAGCACAUACCUGACCUUGGGCUCCUUCUCUAGCUUCAGAGGGAAAAAAAAAUCAUAGCUUGUUUUUACAUUCCUUGUUCCUUUAUCUGUUUAGGGAAUAAUAGUGAGACAGUGCAACCUGGAAUAAAAGGUGAAACUAAACAUCAUUUUAUCUUCAAAGGUUCAGAGAACACUAAAUGCUAUUCAUCGACCCCAUCCAUUCCUCCAACAGUGAAUGAGGCAACCCUGUCUCCAGUAUUCUGUUACCCGAAGACUUCUUCCGUGCCAACAGCUCCAUUUAAUUUCAAUAAAGUAGCCUCCUCUGGGUUUUCAGAAAGAAGUAGCAUUCCCCACUGCACAAUGCCUUCUGGAAGACACAGUGGUGCUAAUGCAGCUGCUGGGGAAGGCACUGGAAUUGCACAGCCCAUCGACCUGGCUCCUCCUCCCUCCCUGCCUCCUCCCAUGACAGAUUCCCUUGCUUUUUCUGAGCCUCCCACUGGUCCAACUGAGCAGCUAACUACUAAUCAGCCAAAUCAGCAGCCCCCAUUCCUCAUUUCUCCUCAUGAGCCUGCUUCCUGUCUGGUGGAAGAAGAUGAGCAACAUUCUGAAGCAGAUGAGCCUGUAUCUGAUGACCCCCUAUCAGAUGACCUUCUUUCACCUGCUGAGGAAAAAUUGCCCCAUAUCGAGGAAUAUUGGUCAGACAAUGAGCACAUCUUCUCGGAUCCCAAUAUUGGUGGGGUGGCAAUUGCGCCCACUCAUGGUUCUGUCAUGAUUGAGUGUGCCCGGCGAGAGCUUCAUGCUACCACUGCUGUGGCCCACCCAAACCGCAAUCAUCCUGCUCGCCUCUCCCUUGUAUUCUACCAGCACAAAAACCUGAAUAAGCCCCACCAUGGUUUUGAACUAAACAGGAUUAAGUUCGAGGCUAAAGUAGCUAAGAAUAAGAAAAUGAAGGCCUCAGAGCUGAAAGACCAGGCAGCUAACAAGGGUGCUGAAUUGUCCCCUGAAAUAAAUGAAUUGAACCAAAUUCCUUCUCAUAAAGCAUUAACAUUGACCCAUGACAAUGUUGUCACUGUGUCCCCUUAUGCUCUAACACAGGUUGCAGGGCCCUAUAACCGGUGGGUCUGAAGGCUUUCCUCCCCUUCUUAAUGCCUUUCCUCAUGCAGUGUAUUUUUUCAAGGUGCUGUUAAGAGAAAGUCAUGUUGUCGUUUACUCUAUCUUCAUCUCACCCAUUUCAAGUCUGAGGUAAAAAUUUUAAAAAUGGGGUGGGUACUUAACUGUGACUAUUUUGUCAAUUGGUAGAAGGUGCACAUUUUAAGCAAAAAUAAAAGUUUUCUAGUUUUAAAUACAUAAAGAAACGUUUUGGUUAGGUGUUAACCUUGACAGAAUCACUCAGUUUGGUGCUUUAAAUUAAGUCUGUUUACUAUGAAACAAGAGUCAUUUUUAGAGGAUUUUAACAGGUUCAUGUUCUAUGAUGUAAAGUCAAGACACAGUGUUAACUCUACACAGCUCCUGGUGCUUAACCACAUUGACACAGUUAAAAAUAAGCUGAAUCAUUGUUUCAUGGUGCCAUGUUCCAAUAUCUUCCAAUCAUUGCUAGAAAAUCAGCAUUUUCCUUUGAAAUAAACCAAUGAAAUGCUUUCUCUCUUUAAAUAUUUCUCCUGUAUAAAAUAAUUCAUUAUUGUUUGUAAUGGUUGGAGGCUGUUCGUAAUUGUAAAUAUAUAUAUUUUCAAAGCACUUUCUAUUUUUAAAAGUAACUUGAAAUAGUAUAGUAUAGGAAUCCUAUUGUCUAUUGUUUGUGCAUAUUUGCAUACAAGAGAAAUCAUUUAUUCUUGCUGUGUAGAGUUCCAUCUUGUUAAAUGCAACAUGUUAUUUGCAUCCUGUAUAUGAUUUUUAUUCUUUUAAUGUGUCCUUUCAUGUUAUGUAAUAGCUACUUAUAUAAAAUAGUGAAUAAUUCCUAAAAUUGGACUUAAGAAACAUCAUCAAUAUUGACUAAGUUGUUUUAAAUUUUAAAAUAGUGUGGUCUCUUAUGAUUUAUUGAGCUACCAUGGCCUCAAGUUACUUCCAUCCCAGCUUUUUCAAUAUAACCCAUUAAACAAGUUUCAAAAGGGAAAUGGGAGAAAAUGUGAUUCAGAAGAGUCAAAUGCUUUUAAUGUGUCAAAGUGAUAUAAUACAAAAAUUAAGUAACCAGAAUCCUACCCAUCCCAAAUUGUUUUGUUUUUUUUUUUGUUAUGAUAUCCAUCCUUGUGUAGAAUAAUAGUUACUCCCUGGCCCUAGUCAAAGAAUGAUAAUAGUAUUAUAAAUAUGGUUAUACCGAAACAAAAUGUUUAGAACAAGAAGAACCUUCUAAGAAAUACUUGAUUCUGUUAAAAUGUAGAGGUGCUAUAACAUUCAAAGUAUCAGAUUCUUUGGGAGUCCAGAAAACCUAAUGGUGCUUCUCCCUUGAAAUGGCAUAGGAAGCCCACAACUGCUAACUCAUAAUUUUGGUGCAAAAGCAAACAGUUCCAGCAAGGUCUCAAAAAAAAAAAAAAAAAAAAACUCAUUAUAACUUAUUAAAAUAAUAUAUGGUGCAAAGUAUCAGUUUAAAGCUUUUGACUAAGUAAAGGAAUAUGAAGGGAUUGUAAAUAAGGACAUGUCCAUUAAUAGACCUGUAUAUGUAAAAUAGGGUAAUUCAAUGACUUGUUUUAGUAUUUUCUGUGCCUUAGAUAUCUGUUUUAAAAUGUGGCGUUUUUUUGUUUUGUUUUGUGUUUUUGUUGUUUUUUGAGCCUAAGGUUUCUUAUAAGUAUAUAAGUGAUUGUUUAUUGCUUCAGCUGCUUAAAUAACAUAUUUUCUAGCAUUUGACUAUCAGGAAUAGACCCUUGUGAUAACUACAUUUUAGAUUUUAAGCCUUAGCUCCCACUAGAAGUUGUUUCCUCACCAGAUAUAAUGGAUAAAACUUUAUGUCCCUUAAUGCAUCCAUCCAUCUACCCAUUUUCCCAGUACACACUUAUUGAAUACCCGAAAAAUUUAAAUGUCACUUUUGUUUUUCUCUGAAUCAUCACCUAUGAAAUGGUAGAGUUGAAGAAUUAAAAUCCUCAAUGAUACCUUGGAAAUAUAUUUUUAAAGAAAUAGCAAAUUACAUUCCAAAUAAUCCAUGGUAGUAUAUGUACAAUAAUUCAAAUCAAUUUGUUUUUGUCUUUAAAAAACUUUCAUAAUAAUCUAAACUUAUAACACCAAUGUUAAUUAAAGGGAGUAGUGGGAUUUGUGAAACUAGUUAUAGUUUACCAAAACAAUUACUGAGAAUGCCCAUUUUAAACUACAAUGUUUCCAGUCCAUUGUUGUAAUUAACAUCAUGAAUGGAAAUGUGCUCUUUCUCCUGAAGUGAGAAAAUAAAUUGGUUUGAAUGACAUUUUCACUCAUAAAACUGGUCAUCUAACAUUAUUUCUGCAUUUCUAUUAUGUUUUAGUAUAAUGACUUUUCUUUUUCCUCUUUAUUGCACUCAAAGUAGGUUUUAAGUCUGCUUUUUGUUCAUGGUAUGAUCAUUGAAUUCAUUUAUACCUGACUUCCAAGUUAUUCCAGUUAAUAAUGUUACAAAUUUAUCAACUAUAAUGGCCAGGCGCAGUGGCACUCACCUGUAAUCCCUGUGGCUCUGCAGGCUGAGACAGGAGAAUUGAAAGGUCAAAGGCAGCUUCAGCAAUGGCAAUGCGCUAAGCAACUCAGUGAGACCCUGUGUCUAAGUAAAAUACAAAAAUGGGGGUUGGGAUGUGGCUCAGUGGUCGAGUACCCCUGAGUUCAAUCCCCAGUACCAAAACAACAAAAUUUAUCAACUAUAAUAAAAUAACUCUUGCCUAUUGUAAAAUCCUACUGAAAGUAUAACUGUCCCUCAAAAUUCCAUUUCUAGUGUUUAUGAGGCCAUCACUGAAUUAUAUUUUCCCCCUCUGCUCAUCAGCCUUACCUACAUUUUGUUUCCAAUUCAUCCUUAAAGAGCCAACUAGAUCAUAUCAACCUAAUUGAAAUAUCUAUUGGGCAACGAAUCUACAAUUGUAGUUGAAUUUUGGGGACAUUCACAUCUUCAGUAACUUUCUAACAUCAUUAUUCAAUUUGCAUGUGGAUGAAAUAAUUUGAUUUGUUACAUACAGAACUUCACUAGAUGAGAUCCAUAACCAAUUUACUUAAGACAUAACCCCAAUACAUACUUAAUUGAAUGCAUACCCUUGUGCAAAUGUACCGACUUAGGUCAUAGGAAGUAACCUACUUUCUAAUGUUAUUACUCCUGUGGACUCACUGAUUAUCAUUCCACCAUAGCAUGAGUGAAACUAACCUGGAAAUAGUUCUUUAAAACAAAAAAAUCAAGAUUUUUUUUUUCUGAGGCAAAUUUAAAAUAUCAUUGCAUGACAGUUUCCACCAAUAAUGGGCACAGCAUUUCCUUUGAACAUGCCUACUAAAUUGAUUGGUUUAUGCAAUCUUCAGUAGUUUCCUUCAAUUUCACACUUUAAUGCAUAGAAACCUAGGUUUACUACAAGUGUGAGUAUUAAUCUUUUGUAGAAAUUUACGAAAAUUGUUAAAUAAGAUAACAUGUUAGCUUCUCAGAAUGUUGGAGUUCACCUCAGAAGUCAAACAGUUCGUUCACUAGAAGCCAAAGAACAGAUAUCAAUUUCAAUUUGUAAUUAAACCUUGAACCUUGUACAGGUGAAGACUACUUUGUGCUUAUAACCAUAGAGUAUAAACAAACUUUAUUUUCUCACCCACAAAGUGAUUUAUCACUAGGAAAUUGUCUUCUUUGGGAACGUAUCAAAAAUUAAAUGCCAGGUAUUGUGGUGUCCGUCUGCAAUCCCAACAAUUCUGGAGGCUGAGGCAGGAAGAUUAUAAAUUCAAUCUAGCCUCUGAAAUUUUGUGAGACUCUAAGCUAGUUAGUAAUGAAACCCUGUUUCAAGAUAAAGGGAUACAAGUGGACUCCGUGGUAAGCACCUCUGGGUCCGAGCACACACAAAAGAAAAUAACAUAAAAUUGCUUUUCCCCUCCACCCUGAGAUCUUUAGAAAAAGUGAACAGUGAAAAUAGGUCAAAAUGCCUUUGCCUGCUGACUUCAUGUACUUUUGUGGGAAAUUAGCUGACUUACCCAUGAAGCUGUCUUUUGUUUGUUUGUUUGUUUUUUAUUUAAUUUGGCACGGUACUGGGGACUGAACCCAGGUCCUUAUGUGUGCCACUGAACUACCUCCUCAUCCCUGGAAGCUAUUUUGUUAACUCUUCCUAGAAGAUGUGGCAAUACUCUGGCAUUUCAUUAAGCACAUCUCAAGAGCUUCUAUAGUGUAGGCUUAUACUUAUUCCUUCCCUUGGUACCUAGCAUACAUAAGGGUGUUUUUAAAAUAUUGGAUGAUUAAGAGGGCUGGAGCUGUAGCUCAGUGGCAGAGCACUUGUCUACCAUACAUGUGGCACUGGUUUCAAUCCUCCGCACCACAUUAAAAAAAAAAUACAGCCAUUUUAAAAGAUUGGAUGAUUGAAAUAUUUGAGGAAAACAUUUCCAUACUACCUAGCCAUGGUUAUACAACUCCCUUCAUAUCCAGCUAGGCAAGUCCCAGCAAUUAAUUUCGAUGUGUCUCUCUACAUGAAGUGGAAUAUUGUUUCAACAUCCAUAGCUCCUAAAAUUACUCAUAGGUGUGUUGUAGCUUCAACACAGGUCUGUACAUCAUACUUAACUAAGUGAUGUCAUCAGUGCCAGAUUACCGAGUCUGAGUUUAUCUAAAUCAAAUUGUGUUCCAUUUUGAGUUUUCUUCUAACAGCGUUAGAAAAUGUUUUCAUUGUGGCUCAGGAAGGCAAUUCUGAAAGUCAAAACCCGUAUGUACUUCAUUGGAAACUGAGUCUGCAUUUUCUUAAUGUAUGUGCUACAUAGAAACAGUAAGCUGAGACAGGAUGAUUAGUUCAAAGUCAGCCUCAGCAAUUUAUCCAGGCCUUAAGCAACUCAGUGAGACCUUUUCUCUAAAUAAAUAUAGGGCUUAGAGAUGUGGCUCAGUGGUCAAGUGCCCCUGAGUUCAAUCUCCAGUGCUCAAAAAACAAAAUAAACUGAAUACCUUGCUGGACACAGUAAUCAAGAGGAUCACAAGUCAGCCCAACCUGGGCAAUUAAGCAAGGUCCUGUCUCAUGAUAAAAUAUAUUUAAAAGAAGAGAGAGGUGGCUGGAGAUAUACUCAGUGAUAGAGCACUCCAGUUUCAAUUCCUAGUACCACAUUAAGGAAAAAGGAAGUUUCUCUAUUAAUUUUUUAAAAAUGGUAGAGCGAGCUUUUAUUCAAGAGCUCACUAUUUUUGUCCUUGUUGAGCUACCUAUUCGGUUCAGCAUCUGGAUGAAUUUGAUUUCCCACAUCUUAAGCCUGGGCUGGUCUUUAACUACAGCAAUCUUCCUGCCCCAGCCUCCCAGACAGCUGAUACUAUAGGCAUGAGCUGCUGUGCCCAACUUGAAUGAAUAUGUUUUGAUCCUUUUUUGGGGAGGGAUGCGCCCAAUUAAAUAUCACUGUUUACGCAGAAGGAUUUUUUUUUUUUUUUGAGAUAGAGGUCUUCUUUAUUCCCCAAACAAGCCUCUGACAAAAGGCAUAUGUUUCAUUACAUCAAGUAAUCCAAAGGGAACACUUAUAUUGUCACUCUUCAUUUUCACUUGUGUUUAAAGUGCCUCAAGGCCAGGUGCAGUGAUGUGCCUCCUCAAGAGGCUGAAGCCAGACACAUCACAAAUUUGAGACCAGCUUUAGCAAGACCCUAUCUCGAAAUAAAAAAUAAAAGGGGCUGGGGAUGUAACUCAGUAGUUUAAGUGACCCUGGGGGGUUCAAACCCCAGUACCAAAAAAGGAAGGGGUAGCUCAAGGCAUGUUCAAGUUUAUCUUGGUUAGUAUGCAAACACUUCAUAUUCCUAGCUUUAAAAUUCAAACAUUAAUAAUUUCCUUAUUUCCUGUAGACAUUUUUACAUCCCUACUAUCAUUCUCAUUAUCUUAUCUGGGUCAUAAACUUUAUUCUCCUUUGUUCAGCCAUAGAUGUCCCUUAUUUUAAAGCAAAAUUUAGUCAAAAGUAGGAAUGUUAUCAAAUAGAGCAUAAGCUGAUUUAACUCACUUAUGUUUGAAUGUGAUGUUUGAGAAUUGGUUAAUCCUAUAAACAUAAUUGUCUAAAAAUAGAAAUUUUGCCCCAGCAGCUGUUAUGUAAAGGCAUUCUCGUUCAUAAGAAAAAAAAAUUGCAGCUGUCAGAUUUUCAUUUUAGGAGAAAUAAUAUUGGAAUGUAAUUCUCCAUUUGGCAGGCUAUAAACUUAAAAGCCUGGGAUAAAAAUUCGGAUCAUUAUUAUUUUUCCAUUUUAUGGAAGCUGCACUGUUUGCUAAGUUCACUUUGAUUCUUUUUACAUCUUUAUUCUUCCUGUGAUUUUUAUUUACAUUCAUAAAAAUUUCUUUGUCCAUUUCUUUGUUCUGUUUCCAUUCCUCAGGUCCAUUCUGCAAAUACACAUGGUUUGUUUUAAAAACAGUAGUGACCUUGGUUAAGUUGUCUUUUUCUGUCUUUUAAAAUCAUCUCUCACAAGUCCUUUCAGAUACAAUACCAAAAGCAAUCAAGAGCUUUUAUUAAACCAUUUAAAUUUAGUGGCAAAUUCUGUUUAUAGGAAUAUGCAGUAGAUAUAAGAACAGAGUUUAUUAUCAAGUGGUGUCUCUACAAAUCCCAUUAAUAUUUAAAUUUUUUCUUGGUGUUCAAGACUUUUGCCAAAAAAAUUGUAUUAGAAGAGAAAUAUUUUAAGACUUUGUGUUUGGUAUGGUUUUGCAAUUUCUGUGUAAUCCCUCAUGCUAAUUAUAAAUUUACUAAACAGUAACUGAAUUAGUAAUGGAUCUUAUCUACAAAGUAGGCAGUAUCUCUUUACCUGUAUUUCUAAUUUCCCAAUCAAACUAUGUGGAUAGCUAUUUUCUAAUGUAAAUUUACUCCUUUGGCAUUCUUAGGUUGUUAGCAAUAGUAGGAACUAUUCUAUAAUCUGGGUGAGAAAAGUCUAAAAAUGAAAGUAAUUGGAAGAGGGUGAUUCAGUAAGCCAUCAGAAAGUGAAGGGCACGGCACUAUGGGGAAGAGUUAAGGGCCAGAAAGGAGGGAGAAUUAUGCUCCUACCAGCAACUGAAGGUUCAAUCAACCACCUCAAAAGGAAGAGAUACUUUUUAAUAUUUCUUCUUUGCACUCUACAACAUUUUAUAUGUGAAAGUUGCUGCUAAAAUUAAGGAAAUGUUUUGGACGUAAAUAUGACAGUAAUAAAAGCUAUGAUCCUUGGCUGGGGAGAUAUCUCAGUGGUACAGUGCUUGCCUUGCAUGUUCAAGGCCCUGGUUUAAUCCCCAAUAUCAAUAAUAAUAACAAUAAUUAUAAUAAUACCCCUGCACUUAAUGAAGCACUAUUAUAAAACUGCUUUAUUAUGUGCAACUUUUUCUUUCUGACACUGAAAAUCAGACAAAGAAUAUUAUUCCCAUCUUACAGAUCAGGAAUAUGCGGAUGACAAGAAUAGUAAAUGGCUGGGACUUAGAGAGUCACCAAGCAACUCAAACAAUCUGAGAAUAAAAUAUUUAAAUAUUUAGUAUCUGCAGAGAAUCUUAUAAUUUGAAGAACAUGUUUCUCAAGUAUUUUGUUUCCAUUAUUUAUUAAACUAGCUAUUUUCUCAUGCCUAAGAAAAGAUUCCUAAAUUCCUAGGACUUACAUAUUAGGGCUUGGAUUUACUGUUUCUUUGUUUUUUUUUUCUUCCUUAAAAAAAAAAACUUUAUAAAGAAUAUCCCUGGGGGCUGGGGAUGUGGCUUAAGCAGUAAGGUCACCUGGCAUGCGCGGGGCACUGGGUUUAAUCCUCAGCACCACCGAAAAAACAACAACAAAAAAAUACCCCGGUACUACUAAAAUCGGGAAUCUUCUAAAUAAUUUUUCGAAUACUACUUAAAAAAAGAGGGUCAGCACCUCACAAUCAAUGUUUAAUGUAUUUCUUAAAAUUUAUUGAAGUGCACGUUUCUUGAAGGAUAUGGUGCAAGGUAAGCAAUUCUAGUUCCCAGCCCCUCAUAAUAUAAAUGCUAAAUUGUUGGCCUAUCUAAAAGGAAACACUUUUUUUUUUUAAAUUUGAAUUUGUCUUGUUUUUUGUUUCUCUUUGUUUUCAGGCACAUAAAAUUUGUGGUUCAAAAGAUAUAUAUUCCUUUGCCAGAAGGUUAAGAAAAAUAAUGAGAUGUAUUUGUAAAGUUUCUAAUAACCUUUAUAUAGAUUAUUUUAGCAACCCCUAUAUAAAUAUAGAGUGAAUAUUUUGACUAUUCCAUCAGUACAAAAAUCCAGGCCAAAAUUUGAAUAUUAAGAACAAACAAAAAAAAUCUUAUGAUUUUGGUGAGUUUGGUAACUGCCUAUCCUCACCAAUGCCUAUCUGUGCUAGGAUAAAAUGGAUAAUGAUAUAGAAUUUCACAAAAACAGCUCUUUUUAAAAAAAGAUUAAAUAUUUUUAUUGCAAUGUAUGGUUAUAUAUUUUUUUUUAGCCUUUGUAAGAUAACAUUGUGAUAGGUGCUUGAAGAGGAUAUUUUUCCAGAACUGGUUUUAUAGUAAAAACUAAGGGCAGCUUUUGCAUUGUGAAAUAUGGGUAGAUGGCCAUAUAUGGGUUACUGAGAAAUCAAGAUGUGUUCCCUAAAAAGAAACUUAUAAAAUUACUUGGCAGAGAGAUAACCAUGUUUUCUGUUUCGUUCACAUUUUCUCAUGCUAUAUGGUCACCUACCAAGUAAAUUCACAUGCAUAUCAUUACCUUGGCUUAAAGGAGAAGCAGAAUGCUCAUUCUUGGCAGGAACAAAAUGCUCAAAGGUUCUUUACCAUGGUGAAAUAGAGUAGUACUGAAUUCCCAAGAGAGAAUUAUCAGUUUUAUAAGUUAAUAUUUCUUGUCUCUACCUGACUUCUCUCUUUGGAAUAUAUUUACUAUUUAUUUUUUUACCUUUGAUUUUUUUGCUUUGGGGUAUUUUUUUUUUUUAUCUAUUGCCGUCCUACUGUAUUAAAUAUCCCUUAUAUUGAAAUGUUUGUAAAGAAAUACUCUUUAAAACUUCACAAAAUAUCUGUUUUAGUUCUUAACAUAUGAGGGAAACAGUUAAAGAAAAAGCACUUCACCAUGUAGAAGGGAAAGAGAUAAUUCUGUAAUUAUGAUACUUUUAUUACAUGAUCAACAUUUAGGCCUCUGCAGACAAGGGAACACUUACUAGCAGUACUUGAAGACGUAAGUUGGAAUUGCAUGUUACUUGAAAGAUCUAAUUAAGCUAAAUUUUGGUGCACAGCAGUUGUACAUGAUUUCAUGUUUAUGUAGCAAAAUGCAUUGAAAUGUACUAGUAUUGAAAUAUACAUGUAAAGGUAGUUGUGGAAAUUGUCUAUUAUAUUUUCCUGUGUGUUUAAUUUGUUAGAGCAUAAACUUUCUUUUUUUAAUUGUUCUAACUAAAUAAGGCUAAAUGAAUAAUGUAAUUGAAAAUAUAUUUUAAAUCUUUGUGAUGAGUUUUUAAAAAAAAACUAUUACAAAAUUGUAUCAUUCCUGAUUACACAGAACUUUGUUGGUGGUUUUAAAUAAAUUUUAUACUUCUAUUUUGCACCUGGUA
rnacentral:lncRNA from 1 species